GGAAGCGUCGCAUAGCGGUCAAUUGCACACGCUUGGAAAGCGUGAGCCUCACGGCUUCGUGGGUUCAAAUCCCACCGCUUCCGCCA
rnacentral:tRNA from 1 species